UUGCUCCGGCAGCACAUAUACUAAAAUUGGAAAGAUAUAGAGAAGAUUAGCAUGACCUCUGCAAAAAAUAGUCUUUUUAACAAAUGAUGUUGGAAUAACUGGA
rnacentral:snRNA from 1 species